rnacentral:lncRNA from 1 species
UUGGGGAACAUUUUUUACUUAGCAUUUUUCACAUUUAAUUUUCAUCAAUGAAAAAUGUGCAUGUUUUUUUGUUUUUUUCUAAUUCUUCAAAAUUAUAUUUUUAAUUCGUUAUAUAGACAUGUAAGAUACUAUAUUUUCAAAUAUGCUCAUUCAAGAUCAAAUAAUUCUCCAUUUUUAAGACCCUGAAGGGAGAUGUCAACGGGAGCAAGAUCACCUGUAUGUGUUAAGGAUGUACUUAGGUGAGGUUUUGGAAUUUGUGUCAAAUGUUCGGACUCCUUGGUGUUUUUCCAUACAAUACAAUGUAAAAUAUUUUGCCCCAUAACACCCAUAUAUUUUUUCAUAUAAGUCUUAAUAGCUCAUGAAAGGUCAUUUACCAAAAUUUUAGAAGAUUCUUAAUUGUCUUUCUUUUGUUUUGAGACCUAAUAAUACCAAUGCAAAUAUAAGGUAAAAAGUCCGAGUCAGCCUUUUCCCGCCAUAUUUUAAAUCUCAAAUAUCUCGAGAUCUAUCAAUAUUUUUAGAUUAUUUUUAUCCUUAAUUGAUGAUCUACCAGCUUAUAGUAUCAAUUUUAACUUCUUAAUUUAUUAAUUUUCACCUAACCUCACCUAAGUACAUCCUUAAUGAAUGUAAACACAUCUAUAAAUUAGUAUCAAUUGAGACAUCAUUCUCCAAAAAAGAUCACAUAUUUUGUGUAGGCUUCCUUUCCAUUAGACACUGAUUUUGCAGAAAUCAAUAAAAUCUGUUGCAAAUCUAUUUCUUCUUUAAAAUUUUUAUCCCAUGUUAUAAAAGACUACUUUAUACCAUCCAUUCUUUCAGGUGUUAAUUAGAGGAAAUUAUCGCAUUUUAAAAUACCAAAUUUUUUACAUUCUAAUUUCAAAAAGAAUUGAACUGGUAUAGGAUUAAAUAUUUAAAUACCUAGUUAAAGGAAAAUCAUUAGUUCUAUGUCAAUACUUUUUCUUCAUAAAAUACAUAGACAAUAUGUAAUUAAAGAGAAGAAUUUC